UGAAUUGUAGGCCUAUAAGGCUAAUAACAGUACACUAAGCUAUAUUGGUGUCUGAAAAAUGGAAGAGCAGAGAAGAGGAGAGUAGAGGGCAAGCAAAUUCGGUAUUGAGCAAGGAAAAUGUUUGGGAAUCAAGUAAGUUGAGACUAAAAAAAAAACUUAGCAUCUCAUCUUUCUUCUUCUUCUCCUCCCAGCCGAUCGAGCCUUCCUUUCCUUUUCCCCAAUUUUGCCGCGCUCCUCCCCUGUCAAGAAACAGCCCAGCCGAGCUCCCUCCUCUCAAUUCAAUUCCAAAAUUGGUUAAGCUAAACACAAGAAUCAAAGCUAAGGAAAGCUUAUUGAGAUUAAAAUCAAGCUAACAAAGAGGUAUACAUUAAAUUAAGUAUGUUUUCUUUAAUUUAUAUGGAGUUAAUAUAUGAAUAUGUGAUUUAGUUUGUAAUUGCUAAAUUACACAAGAAUGGACUAAGGAGAAGAAUUAGCUUGAUUAAUAUUGGUAAUUAAGGCUAUGGGUAAUUGUUAUAAGUAUGGGAAUUUCUGUAUUGCAUAAUGGUUGCAUUAGAAUCAAGAAACUAAGAAAUGACAAGGUUAACUUUGAAGUUAGUAAACUAACUUAUGUAAAUAUGUAUACAUGUAUGGUUUAUAUUGUGAAUCUGUUCUUAUGGACUAAAUUAGAGCCUUGGCGUAUAGUUGUUGUUGUGCGGAGCAAUAAGAUUGGCAAAAAUGGUUUGAUUAUGUAACCCCAACUUAUAGAAAUCAGUCCACAAAAAAAAAAAAAAACGCACGCGCGAUGUUCGUUUAAAUGCUCAAAAGGGCCAUUUUGGCUAAAAUUACAUAAUUUUACGAAGCCGGGACUUUGGACUCGUCUUAAUAUGUUAAACAAGACUUAGUUGUGAAGCAAAACGAGUCGGAGCGAACCACGACGAGUUUUGGCUUGUGAACGUAAAGUCUAAAAAUUAGCCUCUACAGCCUUUUUCGGCACACUGUUUGGUCAGUUUAGAAAACUUAAAUUGCUGAGGUUAUAUUUUUUAGAAAUACUAUGGUAUGCCAUGUAUAACAUAUCCAAAAAUUGGAUCAAUCCGAUAAACGAGUAAUGCGUGAGAAACUCGCAAAAGGGGCAGCAGCAGCAGGCCAACGCGCACGUGCUGCUGGGCAGCUGCCUGACAUGCUUUUUGCUCGCUGUUUUGAUUGGCUUUCGGGAUUCCUUUUCGCGGUUAGAAAUUUUUUAUAAAAAUACUAUGACAUAAGAGCUCCAACAUACCAAGAAUUUGUUGCGAUUCGAGUUAUGGUUUGAGAUUUAAAAUUAGGCAAAAAGGCAUGUCAGGACUAAAAUUUGAGCGACGCCGAGUGUCGACACGCCGGGCUGUUUUGACAUUUGUCGUUCCGAAUCGCGUUUGGGCUAGAUUUUAAGUAAUGUUAAGUCUAAUAAAGUCCCAAGAGAUAAAUUUUGAUGUUAUGUGAUAAGUUAUGCUACGAAAACUCAGUACGGGCAAUUUGUAUGUGAAAAUGGUUUUAUAACGAAACGAAAAAGUAUGGAACCAUUUGAAAAAUUGUAUUAAUCAUAAAAAUGAUAUUUUGAGAUUUUUGGAGUUCAAAAUGAGGUUUUGAGUUGAUAUAUAUAUAUAUAUAUAUAUAUAUAUAUAUAUAAAUAUAUAUAUAAAGCAAAAUACAAAUAUUUGUAAAAAGAAAAAUAAAGCAAAUGUGCUAGCAAGAUAAAAUAUUUGUAUAUAAGGCCACAAUUAGUGUUGACUCAUGAACGGACAAAUUGAUGUAAAAAUUAUUUAAAUUAAAGAAAUAAUAUAGUAAGUUGAGUUUUACUAUAAAAGCUAUGUAUUAGCUAUUUAAACCCCAAAUUAGCGAAUAAAUGUAAAAGAUAUUUCUAAAAAGGAAUAUAAAUGAUUUAAGCUUCAAGAUGUAAAAUAUUUGCAUCUUAAAAUGUGUGAGACCUUUAUUAUUUAUGAAACAAGUAAAAUAUUAUUACAUGAUUAAUAAUAUUAGAUAAUGAUUAAAAUAUUAUUAAAUGAUUAAUAAUAUUAGUAAAUAAUUUGAAUAUUAUUAAAUGAUUAAUAAUAUUAGAAGGUGAUUAAAAUAUUAUUAAAUGAUUAAUAAUAUUUAUAAAUGAUGAAGAUAUUACUAAGAAAUUGAGAAGUAAAUAAAAUAUUAUUAAAAGAUUAAUAAUAUUAGACGAGAAUUUAAGAUGAUAUUAUGUGAUAAUAAUAUUAUCAAAUGACGAUAAUAUUACUAAUGAGUUAAAAAAUUAUUCAACGUUUGAUUAUGUGGCUAAAUGUUAGCUAAUUUAUUAUUUGAGUAAUAGUAUUGUGAGAUAAAAUGUAUUAUGCUAAUUGGAGGAUCAAUCUUGUUAAUGAUAGGUCUUUCAUAAGAGAUUAAAUUAGAUUACUUAGCGGUAAUCAACGGUACAGGCAAGUUUUCUAACUCAAACUCGAGUUAAUAAUUUUUUUAGAAUGCUAGUGGUUUAAUUAUUGACAAUUAUUCCACAUCUAUGAUUAUUGAUUCGCACUAGUGCACAUUACAUAUGUUUAUCAGGUAUGAAAGGCUGAUCACCUUCAUUACCAAAGUAUUUGUUCAUGGUCAUUGUUGAUCACUCAACGUUAUUAAUUCAAUCAUCUAUGUAUUGAAAUUUGAUUCAUGUAUUUCACAAUUAUUACAUUGUUGAAAACUUGAAAGUUUAUUCAUUCCUUUUAAUCAUGAUAUAUCUUCAAUUAAAUUUAAACUUGUUGGGCAAACUUGUUGCUCACCCUUGCUAUAUCAUGAUAAAAAAUUUCAGAUUUAAGAGGAAAGCUCGAGUAAAGACAGAAGCAAAGACAGUGCAAGAUUUAAUUAUGGUGCAGUUAAAUCUAUUAAAUUUUUCUGAUGAAAAUAGCAUUGUAAACCUUUUUAGAUAUUGAAGGUAUGUAUUAAGUUAAGGUUGUAGACCUUGGGAAUGAUGUGUAAAAGUUUAAUGUAAAAACAAUUUAUGUUUAUAUCUUCCGCAAUAGUUAUAGAAAUGAUGUACCAGGUCUGAGGUAAAAAGUACCCGGAUUUGGGGGUGUCACAAUGGCGGGCGGGCGGGCAGGCCCAGCCCGCGGGCCUGGGCCUCUUUUGCCGGGUCUAUUUUUAUUCAUAAUUUUGGAUGAGGAAGAGAAUUUUGUGGGUAGUUCUUAAUGUUCACAAUAGUUAUUACAAUGUAAAAAUGUCAAAUUUUGAAUUUGCAUUCUUUUCAUGUGUGAAUGAUAAAUCUUUUUGGUCGUAUCUGUUGUGUGAUUAUUCAUGCAUGAUACCUUUCUAGCUAGGACCACCUCUAUAGAGAUGCAGAAGCUUUACCAAAAAUGUUUCUCUUCGGAGAUUUGAGCUUAAUGCUGCAUAAGAGAGUUCUUUAGUGGAAAUUUCAAAUUUAAAAAUGGUAGAUUGAAACCAUUAGCCUCUAAACAAGGAAGUGAUUUGCUUACUAAAUAUCCAAAAGAUUUUUUUGGUGAUACUUUGACCACUUUUUCCUUUUCUCCAAAGGAAAAUGCCAGCUCCUCUUAUGUCCAUCUUCACCACCUUUGGUUGCUCAUGGAAACGCUUGACACCUUCUAGCAUCUCUUCCAUAUUCAAAAGUACCAAUCAGUUUCUUAUCCUCUCUAUUUUUUUUCAUCACUUUGACUUAGUUUACAUAAGAAUUUAAAAUGAUUCAAUUUCCCCUUUUUAAAUCACUAAAAUUUGAGAAGUUUUCUACUGGUCUUUAAUUUAG
rnacentral:lncRNA from 1 species